rnacentral:lncRNA from 1 species
GGUACCUACAAGGAGGGUGUCUCACCGAACGGUAGCUAAGACCUCACCACAACCGCGCGGGAGCGAGGAGUCGCGGCCAAAGGCGCCCGCCCGAGCCUCCGCUCUGGGCCGGACCCCAGCCCGAGCGGCCGAAAGAAGCCCCCCGCCCGGAUCGCAGCUGCCGCUGAAAUUCGCUGUGGCCGCUGCUUCUUCCCGCUUUAAUCCCAGACCUCCAGUCAUUGGGCAGCUCCUCAGAGGCAAGAAGUCAACACCAUGGCAACCCGACAAGCCUAUCAAAUCACCGGCUGGUGUGACAGCGGCAACACUGCAGGCAGGAGUGGGUUGGGCAGAAGAGCAGAGUGGCCGCCACGCUCAGUUCUAUCACUUGCUUGGGCAAAAUUAA